CAGUCGCCGCGGUAACACGAGGGGUGCAAGCGUUAUUCGGAUUGAUUGGGUGUAAAGGGUGUGCAGACGGCUUAUUAAGUCACUUGUUAAAUUCUUCGGCCUAACUGAAGGUCUGCAAGUGAUACUGAAGAGCUAGAGGGUGGAAGAGAGAAGUGGAAUUCUCGGAGUAGCGGUAAAAUGCGUAGAUCUCGAGAGGAACACCAAUGGCGAAGGCAGCUUCUUGGUCCAUUCCUGACGUUCAUACACGAAAGCGUGGGGAGCAAACAGGAUUAGAUACCCCCGUAGUCCCUGUCUCUUAUAC
rnacentral:rRNA from 1 species